GACGAACGCUGGCGGCGUGCUUAACACAUGCAAGUCGAACGGAAAGGCCCUGCUUUUGUGGGGUGCUCGAGUGGCGAACGGGUGAGUAACACGUGAGUAACCUGCCCUUCACUUUGGGAUAACUUCAGGAAACUGGGGCUAAUACCGGAUAGGAGCUCCUGCUGCAUGGUGGGGGUUGGAAAGUUUCGGCGGUUGGGGAUGGACUCGCGGCUUAUCAGCUUGUUGGUGGGGUAGUGGCUUACCAAGGCUUUGACGGGUAGCCGGCCUGAGAGGGUGACCGGCCACAUUGGGACUGAGAUACGGCCCAGACUCCUACGGAGGCAGCAGUGGGGAAUAUUGCACAAUGGGCGGAAGCCUGAUGCAGCAACGCCGCGUGCGGGAUGACGGCCUUCGGGUUGUAAACCGCUUUCGCCUGUGACGAAGCGUGAGUGACGGUAAUGGGUAAAGAAGCACCGGCUAACUACGUG
rnacentral:rRNA from 1 species